rnacentral:rRNA from 1 species
CGCGUAGGCGGGGUCGUGGGUCGGCCGUGAAAUCCACCGGCUCAACCGGUGAACUGCGGUCGAAACUACGACUCUUGAGCUCGGUAGAGGAAGGCGGAAUUCCUGGUGUAGCGGUGGAAUGCGUAGAUAUCAGGAGGAACACCGGUAGCGAAGGCGGCCUUCUGGGCCGUAGCCGACGCUGAGGCGCGAAAGCCGGGGGAGCGAACAGGAUUAGAUACCCUGGUAGUCC